GAUUAUCAACUUUCGAUGGUAGGAUAGAGGCCUACCAUGGUGGUAACGGGUAACGGGGUGUUAGGGCACGACACCGGAGAGGGAGCUGAGAAACGGCUACCACAUCCAAGGAUGGCAGCAGGCGCGCAAAUUACCCAAUCCCGACACGGGGAGGUAGUGACAAUAAAUAACAAUACGGGGUUCUUUCGGAUUUCGUAAUUGGAAUGAGUACAAUUUAAAUCUCUUAACGAGGAACAAUUGGAGGGCAAGUCUGGUGCCAGCAGCCGCGGUAAUUCCAGCUCCAAUAGCGUAUAUUAAAGUUGCUGCAGUUAAAAAGCUCGUAGUUGAAUUUCGGGACUAAUAUGUCGGUCGUGCCUCGGUACGUACUGGCUUAUUGGUUUCUCCUUUCUGAAGAACCAUGAUGUCAUUUAUUUGGUGUCGUGGGGAAUCAGGACUGUUACUUUGAAAAAAUUAGAGUGUUUAAAGCAGGCUCACGCUUGAAUACAUUAGCAUGGAAUAAUGAAAUAGGACGUUUGAUUCUAUUUUGUUGGUUUCUAGGAUCGACGUAAUGAUUAAUAGGGAUAGUUGGGGGCAUUAGUAUUCAAUUGUCAGAGGUGAAAUUCUUGGAUUUAUUGAAGACUAACUACUGCGAAAGCAUUUGCCAAGGAUGUUUUCAUUAAUCAAGAACGAAAGUUAGGGGAUCGAAGACGAUCAGAUACCGUCGUAGUCUUAACCAUAAACUAUGCCGACUAGGGAUCGGAUGAUGUUAAUUUUUUAAUGACUCAUUCGGCGCCUUACGGGAAACCAAAGUGUUUGGGUU
rnacentral:rRNA from 1 species